CCUACGGGAGGCAGCAGUGGGGAAUAUUGCGCAAUGGGGGAAACCCUGACGCAGCAACGCCGCGUGCGGGAUGAAGGCUUUCGGGUUGUAAACCGCUUUCAGCAGGGAAGAUAGUGACGGUACCUGCAGAAGAAGCCCCGGCUAACUACGUGCCAGCAGCCGCGGUAAUACGUAGGGGGCAAGCGUUAUCCGGAUUUACUGGGUGUAAAGGGAGCGUAGACGGCAUAGCAAGUCUGAAGUGAAAGCCCGUGGCUCAACCGCGGAACUGCUUUGGAAACUGUUAAGCUGGAGUACUGGAGAGGCAA
rnacentral:rRNA from 1 species